AUUGAACGCUGGCGGCAGGCCUAACACAUGCAAGUCGAACGAGUGGCGUACGGGUGAGUAAUGUCUGGGACACUGCCUGAUGGAGGGCGAUAACUACUGGAAACGGUUGCUAAUUCCGCAUACCAUCAGAUGUGCCCAGAUGGGAUUAGCUAGUUGGUGGGGUAAAGGCUCACCAAGGCGACGAUCCAUAGCUGGUCUGAGAGGAUGACAAGCAACACUGGAACUGAGAAACGUUCCAGACUCCUACGGGAGGCAGCAGUGGGGAAUAGUGGACAAUGGGCGAAAGCCUGAUGCAGCCAUGCCGCGUGUAUGAAGAAGGCCUUCGGGUUGUAAAGUACUUUAAGCGGGGAGGCGUUACCCAAAGAAGAAGCACCGGCUAACUCCGUGCCAGCAGCCGCGGUAAUAC
rnacentral:rRNA from 1 species